GGAGUUGGGGUGGGGGCGAGGCUUACUCCAGACGGGCUGGGGGAGGGGGCGUUGCCCGCGCGCUAGCCCCUCCUCCCAGCUCCUGCGGACCGCGGAGCUCGCCCACUCUCGCGUUCUCCCCUCCGCCCAGACAUCUACAGGCACCAGCGGCGACGAGGCGGGGAUGAUGCUGGAAGACUUAGGGUGGGACGGCCCCAUCCUCUCGGAACCUCCGUCCCUGCAACCGAUUUUAGGGUGGGGAUGGGGUGGGGGCUGAGUCUGCCCUCAAAACGGGGCUCAAGGCUCUUGGCUUGGAGCAGGCAGGGUUGGCCCUGUCCGGGCCCCCGGAGUGACUCA
rnacentral:lncRNA from 1 species